rnacentral:rRNA from 1 species
AGCAACGCGCAGAACCUUACCAACCCUUGACAUGGCGAUCGCGGGACCAGAGAUGGUUCUUUCAGUUCGGCUGGAUCGCACACAGGUGCUGCAUGGCUGUCGUCAGCUCGUGUCGUGAGAUGUUCGGUUAAGUCCGGCAACGAGCGCAACCCACACUCUUAGUUGCCAUCAUUCAGUUGGGCACUCUAGGAGAACUGCCGGUGAUAAGCCGGAGGAAGGUGUGGAUGACGUCAAGUCCUCAUGGCCCUUACGGGUUGGGCUACACACGUGCUACAAUGGUGGUGACAAUGGGUUAAUCCCCAAAAGCCAUCUCAGUUCGGAUUGGGGUCUGCAACUCGACCCCAUGAAGUCGGAAUCGCUAGUAAUCGCGUAAC